rnacentral:lncRNA from 1 species
GGCAAAUCAGAACAAAAUGACAACCCCUCCUCACCCCAGGCCAUUGCGAUCCAGAAGCAAAGAAUGGCAGGUAGGUUAACAGCAGUAAGUUUGGUUAAGGUUUAUUAUGUGAAGUUUUAUCAUUGCUCUGCUGCUGAAUGGGUCGCAUUGGAGGCUGACACCUGGCUGCAGGUAAAACAGGUUACACUGGAGGCUGUCUCCUCUUGCUUAGAAGUAGAGGUCAUCUGUUCCUGCAGAGAAGUCACAUGGCACCCACACACCCCAACUCCUAAUGGUUCUCUCCCUUUGGGUGUGACCCCCUGGCCAGAGAACAACAAUGCCCCAGUGCGUGGGGAAGGGUGAGCCUGGUCUCUUUUCUUAACCCUUAACGUGUAGACAUGUUUACACCCAACACUCUCGUAUCUGAGGAGGAAAUUACUCCAAUACUUAAUUAAACUACUAAGUUAACAAUUUCAAAGAUUUUACUUAGUGCAAAAAAGAAAGAAGAACUUCAUUAGCCAGAUUCAACUGUUAUUUAGCAAAAUUUAAUACACAGUGAAAGCAAGCUAAAUCUAGCCUCAAUGAAGUGACCUAUUCUGUUUAUUAAUAGCACUGUCUUACUUUAAAACUGCGAGUAACAAAAGCAAGCUGAACUAAUUUUGUGUUGAUACACUUUAUUAUCACUAGUAUUGUGUGUUGAGAUCACAGCGAUGGCUAUGACAAAUGAGGUGAUGAAAUGUCAUCCCAUUCCACACCGAGUCUACAACUAAGGAUCCAAGCAUAAGAAACACUUGGAAAAUUCUGGGUUCUCCAAAGUGGACGGGGGCAUGGUUUAGUGUGCCAGACGUCAGAAGCCUACCUGUGGGCUGCUCCAAAUGUGGUCCUGGUAUGGAGGUCCAGCGUGUGGACCUUUUAUCAUUGCACUGCUGCUGAGUGAGUCGCAUUGGAGGCUGACACCUGGCUGCAGGUAAAACAGGUUACACUGGAGGCUGUCUCCUCUUGCUUAGAAGUAGAGGUCAUCUGUUCCUGCAGAGAAGUCACAUGGCACCCACACACCCCAACUCCUAAUGGUUCUCUCCCUGUGGGUGUGACCCUCUGGCCAGAGAAGGUCCACACCCUGUGGGGUCACUGAGAAGGCAGAACCUGGGGCCCCACUCAGACCCUGGCACCGGAACCGAAUGUCAGUAGUCUGGUGAUUCGUGCAUACAUUAACCUUUGAGAGCUUUGCUUUCGAUGGAACUUGAUAAAUAUUCCUUGAAGAUGCUGAAUUUACCACUCUUUGUCUUUUUUAUGUAAUGAGGAGCCAACUGCUAUCAAAAGAGGCUUGUUAUCCUCAACAAUGCUGAACAAUUACUACAUGUUUUUGAACCAGCUUGGGAUCAACCACAUCACGUUCAGAGACAAGCCUCCCAAAUGCUGCGUGAUGGGGAAGCUGACCGCCCUUUGCAACCAUUCUUGACUGAGAGCCAUGGGUGGGGCUCGCCGUGGGUGCUGUGAGAGCCGCACCCUGGGCGGAGGUUUCCAGGGCUUCAGCUGCAAAGUGCUAGGAAGACUCAAAGGGUAGGGCCUGAAAGCCCCUCUGAGAGGCAGCAACACAAACCCAGGGGAGGGCUCUGUGCGGACUUAUAUACUCGUGCCUCUGCUUAAUUCAUCUAGAACCCCUAUGGCUGUUUACAUAACAACUAUAACACUUCAUGCGGCUUAUAUGUAUGUGGAGGUAACACAUAGGCCACUAGGAAGGGGGACAGUGGUAGAUGGACCUUUUUUAGGUGCAAAGUUCUUGGCUUUAUGUGAAGUGAAGCAGUGUUAACUAAAUAGGCUGGGGCAAGCUAAGGAUGUACAUUGCCAUCACUAAAGCAACCACUGAAACAAAAGUGCAAAAGAAGAUAUAGAUUAUGAUGGGGUGGUACAAAAGUGUUGGAAAUAAACGGUGGUGAUGGUUGCACAACAUUGUGAAUGCAUGCAGUGCUACUGAAUUAUACAGUUUAUCCACGGUUUUCACCAUUUGGGAAGUUUUAUGUCAUAUAUGUUUUGACAUGAUAAAAGAAAAAUUACAAAACAUAGCUUAAAAAGCCGAUAAAUAGAAAGCCAAUAGGUAAAUAAAAAUGGGAUUGUAAAAAAAUCAGUCAACUCAAAAGAAGGCAAAAAAGGAAGAAAACAGCAACAACAACAAUGAAACUGAGGGACAAACAGAAAGCAAAUCUCCGAAUGGAAGACCCUGAGCCAUAAGGAAGAUCACAUUAUAUGCACUGGAUUCCACUUUCCAAAGAGAAGGCAGAGAUACUCAGAGUGGAUAAAAAUGCAAGACGCAGUGCUACGCAGAGAAGCUGAAAGAAAAGAUGGAAAAGGCAAACCACGCAAACAGCAGUGGGAAGAAGGCUGGAGGGGCUUUGUGAAUAUCAGAUAAGAUCCCUGAAGACGGAGCGUUACCAGAGACAAUGAGGGAUGUUCAUAAUCAUGAAACGGUGUGUUUACCAGGAAGACAUAACAGACAUAACAACCAACAAUGUAUAUAAGCCCAGUAACAGAGUUUCAGAAUCAUGAAGCAAGCCUCAACAGCGAUGAGGGAGAAGCAGGCAGACCCUGGGCCAACUUCCUCGGAGGGCUGCCGGGUGCACAGGGCUGGGGUGUUAGUACAGGGGUCCUAGUCGACACCCAGCUAUGCACGCUCUGCAGAACUGUCUACAAACCAAGAGAAAACCCCUUUUCCCCUGCUGUGAUCAGAAAUCCUGACUUUAAUUCCAGUUGCAGUGUGUGUGGCAGAAUGUGGCCCGUGAGUCAGAGGUUCUGAGUUCCGGUUGUGACUUGGCCACUCAAUUCGUGACCUGGAAUAAGUCAUACACUUCGUUGAACUACAGUUUCCUUAAAAGUCAGUAGACAGUUUAAAAAGUCAUCAGAUAAUGUUUAGGACCAUUUCCACCUCCAGGAAUUGGAUACUCAUUCUGGGCUUUGGAUAUUUUAACCAUUUUUACAAAAAGGUAUGAGGUAUACAGUUUUAUUGCAUAAAGUCUUUGAAGAAUUAUCUAAGUAAAACCAUUUCCCUUGAAAGCAUAUUGAGGAAAUUUGAAUAAGGCUGGAAAUAUUUUCAUAAUCUUGUGCUUGCGUAGGAAACACACUAAGUCCUUUUGUGCGGAACUUAACAUCUGUGGCAGCUAGAUUCCCUCACUAGCUUACCCGCUCCCCACCCUCUUCGUGGAAUUGUUGUAACCAUAGAAAGUAAAUCCAGGUACAAAGCACUGGCUCCGCCUUCAAGCACCUUUGGGAAGUGGUUUCAUCUCCAGUGCCUCAGUGCUCCCGUGAUUGAGUAAAGGGAGAAAGGAGUCAUCCCCAGCUCACAGAACAGUCCUGCGGCCCGGGGAGGCAGUGCCUGCAGACAGCCUGGAGACCCCGGAACCUGCUCGGCCCUCCCCUCCUGCUAGCUUUCUGCAGUUCCCCAUCCCCCAUUCUGCCUUCUCUCAAGGUAAAAUUGUGGUUACAGCAAUUAAAGGUAUUCAAACACAGCAGAGCAGAUUUACUCGAUCAGCUGUGAUGGCUUUGCAGGCACCAGGUCCUUCAAGGCGAGGCUGGAGGGUGCGGACUGUCCUCCCUGCUGGGUUUGGAAGGCUUCCCUGUUCCUGUCCUCUCUGGUCAUGACCUGUGGUGACUGCGUCAGGAGUAUUUGUUUGGCUCAGCAUUAUUGAUUUAUCCUGCAGUAUUCCUUUCCCGAACUGAGAGAGGUCCAACAGCAGCAAGUUAAAGAAAGUCAACCUUUUGGGAUAUGGCCAAGGAGGCCCUCUUCCCAGAGAUUUGGGCUUCACCGGCCACUGCAAGUAGCCUGCAGGGUUGUCAUUUUGGAUGGCUGUGGGGCAGUACACUUGGAGGCAGGUGGCUGUCUGCAAUCCCCUCAGCUUCUUUGAACAUGUGUUAAGAUACGGUGGCAUCUGCAAGUGGAAGCUGAUGCUCAAACCGAAUCGUGCCUUCACAGCCCCUGGGGCCUCGGUACCCAGAUUCUGCAGUGAUACCAGCUGAACCAGAAGCCAAUGGCAGCUUGAAACAGCAGCUUGCUCCUGUAUCUGAGGAUUCUGUGGUCCCGAAUCAGCACGUGUCACAGAUGUUUGGAGGAGACCGAGAGUGUGCUGUCGGCACGCAUCGUCCGUGAAGCAAUGGGGCAGAGUUCAUCCCUUACUUCAACCUAUGCAUCGCUGUUUUGUGCAUCGUCAUAAAAACAACACAUUCCAAAUGCACUGUCAUGGGCUUGGAAGGAAAAUAAUAAAGAAAACAAACCCCAAAUGAAAUUGCACAAUGUCUAGAGUGUCUUCAGUGCGUUUUCUUCUGCCUUAAAAAACCAACCAAACAAAAGCGACCUACUUGAGACCAUACAAUGAGGCAGACACUGGAUGUUUAGCUCCCAGCCCCUGACCCCCCUGCCGGCCUGGCAAGGUGAAUCUUGGGGAUAUACAGACCUCCCAGCUGCCCUGGUUGCUGGGUGCAGGUGCAGGACCCAGACUCAGCCAACAGCACACACAGCCAGCUCUAAAGUGGAAGCUGGUGGCACAAGGCAAAAGGCCAGCAUCCUUGGCUUCGGAGGUGGCUUCAUCCCCUCUUCAGGAGCAGUGGGUCAGUGGCACUGGGCCCGUGUCCAGUCCUGACCUGUGCUGGCCCUGGAGCUGCAGUAUUGCUGCCCCCCAGGCCCCUGGCUGGGCUCCUGGUCCUGCUGCUGCUCGGCCUCUCCCUC